UUUUGUUGUUCAGUAUAGUCAGGACAGCUCAGAGCAACGUCCGUAACAGCUUAGAGCAAACGGAAAGAAAAAAAAUCUGUAAUUCGGAAAUCUAAAUAAAACUAUUUUGAUUGCUGUCAAUUCAAAGUGUUGAUUUUCAUGUACAUUUUUGGUCCUUCGAGGCGGAUCCAACAUCAAAGCGUGAAAGUGAUUCCGGUGCAUUAGAGCAGACUGCUAAGAACUGGUGGGACGAUUAUUCGAGUCUACAAAGGCCGCGUAGUGUACAACUCCACUCGUGUCUUGAGUGCAACUCACUAGGGUGAUCAAAAAGUGUUUGUGCGCAAAGGCAUCAAAUAUCGCCAUUACACUGAAAGCCAUCGCGAUAAGUAGUGAAGCAGUUGGUCAACGAACGCCGGUGGCGAGUAAGAUGACUAGGAGGUACGACUGCCCCAUCACUCAGAAUGGCGGCCGGCUCAUCAAGAGUCAAUGGGCAAUCAACAUCGUCUUCGUCGCAGCAGACAUUGACAGCAACAAGGUGAAGUCUACAGCAGCAUAAGGUGGUUCCAGCAACAAGGCGAUGUCACGUCCACCCGGGGCUAAGGCCUCGAGUCACAGAUAAAUCACUAAAACGGACGAUGGCGACGCUGGAAUCGACUCUAUUUUUUCAAAGGAGUUCAGAAGAAGAAGUAAGAAAGGUGGCGAGACAAGAUGAAGUACCAAUACAAGGUGAAGAGGCGAGACAAAACAAUGAGGAAGAAACAAUGAAGAAGUGGUGAGACAGAGAACAUGCAGUAAGACAGAGAACUAAUGAAGAGACAAUUCAACGAGGCAGAUACAAGACAACGAGGUUGAGACAGAGAAAGGUGGUGAGGCAAGACAACAACGCAGCGAUUAAGUAACGAGGAAGAGACAAACAAGCAGUAGCGAGACAAGACAACGAGGUAGAGGCAGGAAAAUGUGGCGAGACAAAAUCACGAGAGAAAACAAAGUAGGAGCAUACACGGAGAAGAAAUCGAAGUUACAACAAGUAGGAAGCAGACAACAAUGGGCAAAAUAGAAGUGACAACAUAAAAGCACAAACAUUAAGAAGCAAGACAGAGAUAGAAGAAAAAGAAGAAGAAACAAGAUUGUAAUAGAGUCAAUGAAGCAUGCAAGACUAUGAAAUUUAUGAGA